rnacentral:ncRNA from 2 species
GUUAGGGUAUCGGCGCGAAGUGCCAGGGAAGUCGGUGUGACUCCGACGCAGGCCCGCUACGGUGUUCCGCGGCGCGUUUCACGUGCCCCGGUCAGUCCGAAUACCGGCUUCGCGUCGCCAACACAG